rnacentral:lncRNA from 1 species
CUGAAAAAGGUCAGUGGACUAUUAUUGAAAAGUUAUCACAUCCUGCCAUGCUUGCACCCUCACUGGUUCUAACACUUGUACAUACACUCUCUUGGUCUCUUCAGGGAUGGAAAUCUCACUCCCUUAUCCACCAACACCUUUCCACGCGCAGUCAUAGCUAUACCACAGGCUCAUCAGAUCCAGUUACUUGGACAAAUAAACGUCAAAGAUCAAGCAUUACAAAGAAGGUGGACUUCUAAAAACAAACAAACUCACAAGUAUUGUUGAUUGGUGGAGAAACUGCUGCACAGGGUAACUCAUCAUGCCCUUGAAUCUUCCGACAGCUACUAUUCAUCACCAAACAGAUAGCACUCCAGCUGCAGGUUAGAAUAAAGAAAAAAAAUACAUGAAUAUACCUGUCAUGCUAUUUUGGGUCUCUUUUAUAAAUUUAUUCCUGCCUUGCAACAAAUUCCAAUGCAUAAACGGGCAAGGGCCUCAAGAUCAGCAACACCCAUAAUUGCAUAUCACCGUGGUCAGUUUCGGCGGGCCAUUUGUGCUCGUCUUGAUCGUCAAAAUGCAGUUACCGGGGAAAAAUAACUGCCAGGCCCCCGCGUCGCUCUCCCGCAGGGCGACUCGGGCGGCGACCAGAUCCGCCCGGCCUAGGCCACCGCUUCCCGGCCCCCUCUGCCUCGCCGCCGCCGGUGGUCACCUCCGGCAAAGCCCGGCCUAGUGACGGCGGCGGUGGGGAUUCGCCCUUUGCUGCUGCUCGGCUCCCUGCGGGGCCUGUUCCGUGGCGCCUGUUCGCCGGCGUGCGGUCGGCUGGCAGCGGCGUUUGCACCGGGGCGGCGGCCCUGGACAUGGCGGAGGCGGCCUUUCUCUGAGCUGGAGGAGGUCGGCAAGGGGGCGGCGCGGCCGUGGUGGCUGGGCAUGGUGGAUCUUGGGAUCCCGCGCACAGUUCUUGCGGCUCGGUGGGCGCGCGAUGGAUGGCGGCGCGGCGGGUUUGCAGCGUGGUGGCUGCGGCCAGUGGGGUGCGUCGUGGGGCGGUCGUGGCCGGCUUCGACCCGUCCCGACGGCAGGUGCAGGGAUGACUCCGCCCGAUCCGAUCUGGGCGUGGAUGGUGCGGAGCUGCGUGGAGGUUGCGACAGUGGUGGCGUUCGGCGCUUGGGUGAGUGGAGGAAGCCGGGGCGGCGGCCCCGGGUUGUAGGCCAUGGCGUCUUGUCAUGGUGGUGGCCGGGAUGGGCUCACCCGACGGAUCCCCGUCUGGUUGAAGUCCCGGAGUUUGCGCCUGCAUCUCACUCGCAACUUGAGGUGCUGCUGUGUGGGUGUUGUCGCAGUUGAGCUUGGUGGUCGACGACGGAGGGUGCAAGGUGCAGCGGGAACAGCUCUGACGAUCUCCACGCUCAAGGGUGGUCCAGAUCUGCAGGCCUCUGUAGGGAUGGGCGAGUUCCGGGCGAAAGCCUUGUCCCGACUCUGUCGGUGCCGUCGACGGCGGCGCUUUCGGGCGUCGUUUCCCUCCUUGGAGGCGUCGUCGUGGAACUCCUCUUCCUCUAUGAGGGGCUUGGGCUCUUCGGGUGAAAACCUAAGCUCCAGAUGGUUUCUGGAGCGGGCGAUGACGGUGUUUUCGUCGUUUCUGUUGGGGAUCGUUGCAGAAAUUAAUAAAUUUCUACGCAUCACCAAGAUCAAUCUAUGGAGUUUACUAGCAACGUGAGGGAAGUGCAUCUUUAUACCUUUGAAGAUCGCGAUGUGGAAGCGUUGCAAGAACGCGGUCGGUGGAGUCGUACACGAAGCGAUUCAGAUAACGGCCGAAUCCGAUCUAAGCACCGAACAAUGGUGCCUCCGCGUUCAACACACGUGCAGCUCGGUUACGUCUCCCGUGCCUUGAUCCAGCAAGGAGAGAGGGAGAGGUUGGGGAAGACUCCGUCCAGCAGCAGCACGACGGCGUGGUGGUGGUGGAGGAGCAUGGCACUCCAGCAGGGCUUCGCCAAGCACUGCGAGAGACGAGGAGGGAGAGGGGUAGGGCUGCGCCAAGAGAGAGGGAGACUCGUGUCUCUGGCAGCCCCAAAACCCCCACUAUAUAUAGGGGAAGGGGAGGGGGGCCGGCCCCCUAGAUCCAUCUAGAGGGGGGGCAGCGGCCCCCUUAGGGUUUCCAACUAGGGGGCGCCCGCCCCUCGGGGGGGGGGGCAGCGGCCCCCUAGGGUUUCCAACCCUAGGCGCCUUGGGCCCUGGGGGGGGGGGGCGCACCAGCCCACUAAGGGGCUGGUUCCCACCCAACUACAGCCCAUUAGGUCCUUCGGGGCAGGUGGACCCUCCCGGUGGACCCCGGGAACCCCUUCUAUGGUCCCGGUACAAUACUGAUAAACCCCGAAACCUUUCCGGUGACUGAAACUGGACUUCCCAUAUAUAAAUCUGAAGGAAAUAUGCCCUAGAGGCAAUAAUAAAGUUAUUAUUUAUUUCCUUAUAUCAUGAUAAAUGUUUAUUAUUCAUGCUAGAAUUGUAUUAACCGGAAACAUAAUACAUGUGUGAAUACAUAGACAAACAGAGUGUCACUAGUAUGCCUCUACUUGACUAGCUCGUUAAUCAAAGAUGGUUAUGUUUCCUAGCCAUAGACAUAAGUUGUCAUUUGAUUAACGAGAUCACCUCAUUAGGAGAAUGACGUGAUUGACUUGACCCAUUCCGUUAGCCUAGCACUCGAUCGUUUAGUAUGUUGCUAUUGCUUUCUUCAUGACUUAUACAUGUUCCUAUGACUAUGAUAUUAUGCAACUCCCGUUUACCGGAGGAACACUUUGUGUGCUACCAAAUGUCACAACGUAAAUGGGUGAUUAUAAAGGUGCUCUACAGGUGUCUCCAAAGGUACUUGUUGGGUUGGCGUAUUUCUCGAUUAGGAUUUGUCACUCCAAUUGUCGGAGAGGUAUCUCUGGGCCCACUCGGUAAUGCACAUCACUAUAAGCCUUGCAAGCAUUGUGACUAAUGAGUUAGUUGCGGGAUGAUGUGUUACGGAACGAGUAAAGAGACUUGUCGGUAACGAGAUUGAACUAGGUAUCGAGAUACCGACGAUCAAAUCUUGGGCAAGUAACAUACCGGUGACAAAGGGAACAACGUAUGUUGUUAUGCGGUCUGACCGAUAAAGAUCUUCGUAGAAUAUGUGGGAGCCAAUAUGGGCAUCCAGGUCCCGCUAUUGGUUAUUGACCGGAGACGUGUCUCGGUCAUGUCUACAUAGUUCUCGAACCCGUAGGGUCCGCACACUUAACGUUACGAUGACAGUUUUAUUGAGUUUUGAUGUACCGAAGGAGUUCGGAGUCCCGGAUGAGAUCGGGAAUAUGACGAGGAGUCUCGAAAUGGUCGAGACGUAAAAAUCGAUAUAUUGGACGACUAUAUUCGGACUUUGGAAAGGUUCCGAGUGAUUCGGGUAUUUUUUGGAGUACCGGAGAGUUACGGGAAUUCGUACUGGGCCUUAAUGGGCCAUACGGGAAAGGAGAGAAAGGCCUCAAAAGGUGGCCGCACCCCUCCCCAUGGUCUGGUCCGAAUUGGACUAGGGAAGGGGGGCGCACCCUUCUUUCUUUCUCCUUCCCCUUCCCUUCUCCUACUCCCACAAGGAAAGGAGGAGUCCUACUCCCGGUGGGAGUAGGACUCCCCCCUAUGGCGCGCCUCUCCCCUUGGCCGGCUGCCUCCCCCUUGCUCCUUUAUAUAUGGGGGCAGGGGGCACCCCAGAGACACAACAAUUGAUCCUUGAGAUCUCUUAGCCGUGUGCGGUGCCCCCCUCCACCAUAUUCCACCUUGAUAAUAUCAUAGCGGAGCUUAGGCGAAGCCCUGCGUCGGUAGAACAUCAUCAUCGUCACCACGCCGUCGUGCUGACGAAACUCUCCCUCAACACUCGGCUGGAUCGGAGUUCGAGGGACGUCAUCGAGCUGAACGUGUGUAGAACUUGGAGGUGUCGUACGUUCGGUACUUGAUCGGUCGGAUCGUGAAGACGUACGACUACAUCAACCGCGUUGUGAUAACGCUUCCGCUGUCGGUCUACGAUGGUACGUGGACAACACUCUCCCCUCUCGUUGCUAUGCAUCACCAUGAUCUUGCGUGUGCGUAGGAAUUUUUUUGAAAUUACUACGUUCCCCAACACCUCUUCCCCCUCUCUCUCCUAGUCCAACAUGGAAAAGGGGGGGAGUCCUACUCCCGGUAGGAGUAGGACUCCUCCUGGCGCGCCUCUCCCCUUGGCCGGCCGAACCCCCCCUUGCUCCUUUAUAUACGGGGGCAGGGGGGCACCUCUAGACACACAAUUGAUCAUUGAUCUCUUAGCCGUGUGCGGUGCCCCUCUCCACCAUAUUACACCUCGAUAAUAUCGUAGCGGUGCUUAGGCGAAGCCCUGCUCGGUAGAACAUCAUCAUUGUCACCACGCCGUCGUGCUGACGAAACUCUCCCUCAACACUCGGCUGGAUCGGAGUUCGAGGGACGUCAUCGAGCUGAACGUGUGCUGAACUUGGAGGUGCCGUGCGUUCGGUACUUGAUCGGUCGGAUCGUGAAGACGUACGACUACAUCAACCGCGUUGUGUUAACGCUUCCGCUUUCGGUCUACGAGGGUACGUGGACAACACUCUCCCCUCUCGUUGCUAUGCAUCACCAUGAUCUUGCAUGUGCGUCGGAAUUUUUUUGAAAUUACUACGUUACCCAACAAAAUCUUCACCUCCGGACCAUUCGGGAACUCCUCGUGACGUCCGGGAUCUCAUCCGGGACUCCGAACAACAUUCGGUAACCACGUACAUCUAUUCCCUAUAACCCUAGCGUCAUCGAACCUUAAGUGUGUAGACCCUACGGGUUUGGGAACUAUGCAGACAUGACCGAGACAUCUCUCCGACCAAUAACCAACAGUGGGAUCUGGAUACCCAUGUUGGCUCCCACAGGUUCCACGAUGAUCUCAUCGGAUGAACCACGAUGUCAAGGAUUAGAUCAAUCCCGUAUACGAUUCCCUUUGUCUACCGGUAUAGCACUUUCCCGAGAUUCGAUCGUCGGUAUACCGAUACCUUGUUCAAUCUCGUUACGGCAAGUCUCUUUACUCAUUCCAUAACACAUCAUCCCGUGACCAACCCCUUAGUCACAUUGAGCUCAUUACGAUGAUGUCUUACCGAGUGGGCCCAGAGAUACCUCUCCGUCAUACGUAGUGACAAAUCCCAGUCUCGAUUCGUGCCAACCCAACAGAUACUUUCGGGGAUACCCGCAGUGUACCUUUAUAGCCACCCAGUUACGUUGUGAUGUUUGGCACACCCAAAGCAUUCCUACGGUAUCUGGGAGUUGCACAAUCUCAUGGUCUAAGGAAAUGAUACUUGACAUUAGAAAAGCUUUAGCAGACGAACUACACGAUCUUGUGCUAUGCUUAGGAUUGGGUCUUGUCCAUCACAUCAUUGUCCUAAUGAUGUGAUCCUGUUAUCAAUGACAUCCUAUGUCCAUGGUUAGGAAACCGUAACCAUCUAUUGAUCAACAAGCUAGUCAACUAGAGGCUCACUAGGGACAUGUUGUGGUCUAUGUAUUCACACAUGUAUUAUGAUUUCCGGAUAACACAAUUAUAGCAUGAACAAUAGACAAUUAUCAUGAACAAGGAGAUAUAAUAAUAACCAUUUUAUUAUUGCCUCUAGGGCAUAUUUCCAACAGUCUCCCACUUGCACUAGAGUCAAUAACCUAGUUACAUUGUGAUGAAUCGAACACCCAUAGAGUUCUGGUGUUGAUCAUGCUUUGCACGUGGAAGAGGUUUAGUCAACGGAUCUACGACAUUCAGGUCCGUAUGCACUUUACAAAUCUCUAUGUCUCCAUCUUGAACAUUCACGAUUGGAGUUGAAGCGACGCUUGAUAUGCCUGGUCUUCUUGUGAAACCUGGGCUCCUUGGCAAGGGCAAUAGCUCCAGUGUUGUCACAGAAGAGAGUCAUCGGGCCCGACGCAUUGGGAAUAACUCCUAGGUCGGUAAUGAACUCCUUCAUCCAGAUUGCUUCAUGUGCUGCCUCCGAGGCUGCCAUGUACUCCGCUUCACAUGUAGAUCCCGCCAUGACGCUUUGCUUGCAACAGCACCAGCUGACUGCCCCACCAUUCAAAAUAUACACGUAUCCGGUUUGUGACUUGGAGUCAUCUAGAUCUGUGUCGAAACUAGCGUCGACGUAACCCUUUACGACGAGCUCUUCGUCACCUCCAUAAACGAGAAACAUAUCCUUAGUCCUUUUCAGGUACUUCAGGAUAUUCUUGACCGCUGUCUAGUGUUCCAUGCCGGGAUUACUUUGGUACCUUCCUACCAAACUUACGGCAAGGUUUACAUCAGGUUUGGUACACAGCAUGGCAUACAUAAUAGACCCUAUGGCCGAGGCAUAGGGGAUGACACUCAUCUUUUCUCUAUCUUCUGUCGUGGUCGGGCAUUGAGCCGUGCUCAAUCUCACACCUUGCAAUACCGGCAAGAACCCCUUCUUGGACUGAUCCAUAUUGAACUUCUUCAAUAUCUUGUCAAGGUACGUGCUUUGUGAAAGACCAAUGAGGCGUCUCGAUCUAUCUCUAUAGAUCUUGAUGCCUAAUAUGUAAGCAGCUUCUCCAAGGUCCUUCAUUGAAAAACACUUAUUCAAGUAGGCCUUUAUGCUUUCCAAGAGUUCUUAUCAUUUCCCAUCAAUAGUAUGUCAUCCACAUAUAAUAUGAGAAAUGCUACAGAGCUCCCACUCACUUUCUUGUAAACACAGACUUCUCAAUAAAUCUGCGUAAACCCAAACGCUUUGAUCAUCUCAUCAUAACGAAUGUUCCAACUCCGAGAUGCUUGCACCAGCCCAUAGAUCGAGCGUUGGAGCUUGCAUACCUUGUCAGCAUUCUUCGGAUCAACAAAACCUUCUGGCUGCAUCAUAUACAAUUCUUCCUUAAGGAAACCAUUAAGGAAUGUCGUUUUGACGUCCAUUUGCCAUAUCUCAUAAUCAUAGAAUGCGGCAAUUGCUAACAUGAUUCGGACGGACUUCAGCUUCGCUACGGGUGAGAAGGUCUCAUCAUAGUCAACCCCUUGAACUUGUCGAUAACCCUUAGCGACAAGCCGAGCCUUAUAGAUGGUUACAUUACCAUCCGCAUCUGUCUUCUUCUUAAAGAUCCAUUUAUUUUCUAUGGCUCGCCGAUCAUCGGGCAAGUCAGUCAAAGUCCAUACUUCGUUUUCAUACAUGGAUCCUAUCUCGGAUUUCAUGGCUUCAAGCCAUUUGUCGGAAUCCGGGCCCGCCAUCGCUUCUUCAUAGUUCGAAGGUUCACCAUUGUCUAACAACAUGAUUUCCAGGACAGGGUUGCCGUACCACUCUGGUGCGGAAGGUGUCCUUGUGGACCUACGAAGUUCAGUAGUAACUUGAUCCGAAGUUCCUUGAUCAUCAUCAUUAACUUCCUCUCUAGUCGGUGCAGGCACCACAGAAACAUUUUCUUGAGAUGCGCUACUUUCCGGUUCAAGAGGCAGUACUUCAUCAAGUUUCACUUUCCUCCCACUUACUUCUUUUGAGAGAAACUCUUUCUCCAGAAAGGAUCCAUUCUUGGCAACAAAGAUCUUGCCUUCGGAUCUAAGGUAGAAGGUAUAUCCAAUAGUUUCCUUAGGGUAUCCUAUGAAGACGCAUUUUUCCGAUUUGGGUUCGAGCUUUUUAGGUUGAAGUUUUUUGACACAUGCAUCGCAUCCCCAAACUUUCAGAAACGACAGCUUAGGUUUCUUCCCAAACCACAAUUCAUAUGGUGUCGUCUCAACGGAUUUCGACGGAGCCCUAUUUAAAGUGAAUGCGACAGUCUCUAAAGCAUAUCCCCAAAAUGAUAGCGGUAGGUCGGUAAGAGACAUCAUGGAUCGCACCAUAUCCAAUAGAGUGCGAUUACGACAUUCGGACACACCAUUACGCUGAGGUGUUCCAGGCGGCGUGAGUUGUGAAACAAUUCCACAUUUCCUUAAGUGCGUGCCAAAUUCGUGACUCAAAUAUUCUCCCCCACGAUCUGACCGUAAGAACUUGAUUUUCCUGUCACGUUGAUUCUCAACCUCACUCUGAAAUUCCUUGAACUUUUCAAAGGUCUCAGACUUGUGUUUCAUUAAGUAGACAUACCCAUAUCUACUUAAGUCAUCAGUGAGGGUGAGAACAUAACGAUAACCACCGCGAGCCUCAACGCUCAUUGGACCGCACACAUCAGUAUGUAUGAUUUCCAAUAAGUUGGUUGCUCGCUCCAUUGUUCCGGAGAACAGAGUCUUGGUCAUUUUGCCCAUGAGACAUGGUUCGCACGUGUCAAAUGAUUCAUAAUCAAGAGACUUCAAAAGUCCAUCUGCAUGGAGUUUCUUCAUGCGUUUGACACCAAUGUGACCAAGGCGGCAGUGCCACAAGUAUGUGGGACUAUCAUUAUAAACCUUACAUCUUUUGGCAUUCACACUAUGAAUAUGUGUAACAUCACGUUCGAGAUUCAAUAAGAAUAAACCAUUGACCAGAGGGGCAUGACCAUAAAACAUAUCUCUCAUAUAAAUAGAACAACCAUUAUUCUCAGAUUUAAAUGAGUACCAUUUCGCAUUAAACGAGAUCCAGAUACAAUGUUCAUGCUCAAAGCUGGUACUAAAUAAAAAUUAUUGAGGUUUAAAACUAAUCCCGUAGGUAAAUGUAGAGGUAGCGUGCCGACGGCGAUCACAUCGACCUUGGAACCAUUCCCGACGCGCAUCGUCACCUCGUCCUUUGCCAGUCUCCGCUUAUUCCGCAGCUCCUGUUUUGAGUUACAAAUAUGAGCAACCGCACCGGUAUCAAAUACCCAGGAGCUACUACGAGCGCUGGUUAGGUACACAUCAAUAACAUGCAUAUCACAUAUACCUUUGGUAUUGCCGGCCUUCUUAUCCGCUAAGUACUUGGGGCAGUUCCGCUUCCAGUGACCGUUUCCCUUGCAAUAAAAGCACUCAGUCUCAGGUUUGGGUCCAUGCUUUGGCUUCUUCCCGGCAACUGGCUUACCCGGCGCGGCAACUCCCUUGCCGUCCUUCUUGAAGUUCUUCUUACCCUUGCCUUUCUUGAACUUAGUGGUUUUAUUCACCAUCAACACUUGAUGUUCCUUUUUGAUCUCCACCUCUGCUGAUUUCAACAUUGAAUAUACCUCAGGAAUGGUCUUUUCAAUCCCCUGCAAAUUGAAGUUCAUCACAAAGCUCUUGUAGCUAGGUGGGAGCGACUGAAGGAUUCUGUCAACGACCGCAUCAUCCGGGAGAUUAACUCCCAGCUGAGAUAAGCGGUUGUGCAACCCAGCCAUUUUGAGUAUGUGCUCGCUGACAGAACUAUUCUCCUCCAUCUUAAAACUGUAGAACUUGUCGGAGACUUCAUAUCUCUCGACCCGAGCAUGAGCUUGGAAAACCAUUUUCAGCUCUUGGAACAUCUCAUAUGCUCCGUGCUGCUCAAAACGGUUUUGGAGCCCCGGUUCUAAGCUGUAAAGCAUGCCGCACUGAACCAGGGAGUAAUCAUCACUACGCGACUGCCAAGCGUUCAUAACGUCUUGAGUUGCUGGGAAAACAGGUGCAUCACCUAGCGGUGCUUCAAGGACAUAUGCUUUCUUGGCAGCUAUGAGGAUAGUCCUCAGGUUACGGACCCAGUUCGUGUAGUUGCUUCCAUCGUCUUUCAACUUGGUUUUCUCUAGGAACGCGUUGAAGUUGAGGGCAACAUUAGCAUGGGCCAUUUGAUCUACAAGACAUAUUGCAAAGUUUUAGACUAUGUUCAUGAUAAUUAAGUUCAUCUAAUCAAAUUAUUUAAUGAACUCCCACUCAGAUAGACAUCCCUCUAGUCAUCUAAGUGAUACAUAAUCCGAGUCAACUAGGCCGUGUCCGAUCAUCAGUGAGAUGGACUAGUCAUCAUCGGUGAACAUCUUCAUGUUGAUCGUAUCUUCUAUACGACUCAUGUUCGACCUUUCAGUCUUCCGUGUUCCGAGGCCAUGUCUGUACAUGCUAGGCCCGUCAAGUCAACCUAAGUGUAUUGCGUGUGUAAAUCUGGCUUACACCCGUUGUAUUCGAACGUUAGAAUCUAUCACACCCGAUCAUCACGUGGUGCUUCGAAACAACGAACCUUCGCAACGGUGCACAGUUAGGGGGAACACUUUCUUGAAAUUAUUGCGAGGGAUCAUCUUAUUUAAGCUACCGUCGUUCUAAGCAAAUAAGAUGUAAAACAUGAUAAACAUCACAUGCAAUCAAAUAGUGACAUGAUAUGGCCAAUAUCAUUUUGCUCCUUUUGAUCUCCAUCUUCGGGGCGCCAUGAUCAUCAUCGUCACCGGCAUGACACCAUGAUCUCCAUCAUCGUGUCUUCAUGAAGUUGUCUCGCCAAUUAUUACUUCUACUACUAUGGCUAACGGUUAGCAAUAAAGUAAAGUAAUUACAUGGCGUUUUCAUUGACACGCAGGUCAUACAAUAAAUUAAGACAACUCCUAUGGCUCCUGCCAGUUGUCAUGCUCAUCAACAUGCAAGUCGUGAUUCCUAUUACAAGAACAUGAUCAAUCUCAUACAUCACAUAUAUCAUUCAUCACAUCCUUUUGGCCAUAUCACAUCACACGGUAUAUGCCGCAAGAACAAGUUAGACGUCCUCUAAUUGUUGUUGCAAAUUUUACGUGGCUGCUAUAGGUUUCUAGCAAGAACGUUUCUUACCUACGCCAAAACCACAACGUGAUAUGCCAAUUUCUAUUUACCCUUCAUAAGGACCCUUUUCAUCGAAUCCGAUCCGACUAAAGUGGGAGAGACAGACACCCGCUAGCCACCUUAUGCAACUAGUGCAUGUCAGUCGGUGGAACCUGUCUCACGUAAGCGUACGUGUAAGGUCGGUCCGGGCCGCUUCAUCCCACGAUGCCGCCGAAUCAAGAUAAGACUAGUAACGACAAGUAAAUUGACAAAAUCGACGCCCACAACAACUUGUGUUCUACUCGUGCAUAGAAACUACGCAUAGACCUAGCUCUGAUACCACUGUUGGGGAUCGUUGCAGAAAUUAAAAAAUUUCUAUGCAUCACCAAGAUCAAUCUAUGGAGUUUACUAGCAACGAGAGGGAAAUGCAUCUUCAUACCUUUGAAGAUCGCGAUGCGGAAGCGUUGCAAGAACGCGGUCGGUGGAGUCGUACACGAAGCGAUUCAGAUCGCGGCCGAAUCCGAUCUAAGCACCGAACAACGGUGCCUCCGCGUUCAAUACACGUGCAGCCCGGUGACGUCUCCCGCGCCUUGAUCCAGCAAGGAGAGAGGGAGAGGUUGGGGAAGACUCCGUCCAGCAGCAGCACGACGGCGUGGUGGUGGUGGAGGAGCGUGGCACUCCAGCAGGGCUUCGCCAAGCACUGCGAGAGACGAGGAGGGAGAGGGGUAGGGCUACGCCAAGGGAGAGGGAGACUCGUGUCUCUGGCAGCCCCAAAACCCCCACUAUAUAUAGGGGAAGGGGAGGGGGGCCGGCCCCUCNNNNNNNNNNNNNNNNNNNNNNNNNNNNNNNNNNNNNNNNNNNNNNNNNNNNNNNNNNNNNNNNNNNNNNNNNNNNNNNNNNNNNNNNNNNNNNNNNNNNNNNNNNNNNNNNNNNNNNNNNNNNNNNNNNNNNNNNNNNNNNNNNNNNNNNNNNNNNNNNNNNNNNNNNNNNNNNNNNNNNNNNNNNNNNNNNNNNNNNNNNNNNNNNNNNNNNNNNNNNNNNNNNNNNNNNNNNNNCCAGCCCACUAAGGGCUGGUUCCCACCCAACUACAGCCCAUUAGGUCCUUCGGGGCAGGUGGACCCCCGGAACCCCUUCGGUGGUCCCGGUACAAUAUCCAUAAACCCCAAAACCUUUCCGGUGACUGAAACUGGACUUCCCAUAUAUAAAUCUUCACCUCCGGACCAUUCCGGAACUCCUCGUGACGUCCGGGAUCUCAUCCGGGACUCCGAACAACAUUCGGUAACCACGUACAUCUAUUCCCUAUAACCCUAGCGUCAUCGAACCUUAAGUGUGUAGACCUUAUGGGUUCGGGAACUAUGCAGACAUGACCGAGACAUCUCUCCGGCCAAUAACCAACAGCGGGAUCUGGAUACCCAUGUUGGCUCCCACAUGUUCCACGAUGAUCUCAUCGGAUGAACCACGAUGUCAAGGAUUCAAUCAAUCCCGUAUACGAUUCCCUUUGUCUACCGGUAUAGCACUUGCCCGAGAUUCGAUCGUCGGUAUAUCGAUACCUUGUUCAAUCUUGUUACGGCAAGUCUCUUUACUCAUUCCAUAACACAUCAUCCCGUGACCAACCCCUUAGUCACAUUGAGCUCAUUACGAUGAUGUCUUACCGAGUGGGCCCAGAGAUACCUCUCCGUCAUAUGGAGUGACAAAUCCCAGUCUCGAUUCGUGCCAACCCAACAGAUACUUUCGGGGAUACCCGUAGUGUACCUUUAUAGCCACCCAGUUACGUUGUGACGUUUGGCACAACCAAAGCAUUCCUACGGUAUCCGGGAGUUGCACAAUCUCAUGGUCUAAGGAAAUGAUACUUGACAUUAGAAAAGCUUUAGCAGACGAACUACACGAUCUUGUGCUAUGCUUAGGAUUGGGUCUUGUCCAUCACAUCAUUAUCCUAAUGAUGUGAUCCCGUUAUCAAUGACAUCCUAUGUCCAUGGUUAGGAAACCGUAACCAUCUAUUGAUCAACAAGCUAGUCAACUAGAGGCUCACUAGGGACAUGUUGUGGUCUAUGUAUUCACACAUGUAUUACGAUUUCCGGAUAACACAAUUAUAGCAUGAACAAUAGACAAUUAUCAUGAACAAGGAGAUAUAAUAAUAACCAUUUUAUUAUUGCCUCUAGGGCAUAUUUCCAACAGUUUCCCCCUUGGGGGCGUUGCUUGGGAGAGCUAAAUUGUGCUUGGUGUGUCUGGUUUUCUCCUACGUCGGGUUUGGUGGAUGCCGGGGCAGCGGUCCUGGACGGCUGAUGUGCGCCGUGGCGGCGGCCUCGGAAAGCGAUGGGUGAGGCGGCUCCAUGGGGCGGUGCUGUGGCUCGGCCUUCGCUUGGGUGGCAAUCUUGCGUCACUUGGGUGGCAGGUUUGUCGGCUCGGUCGACGCGUCCCAGUGGCGGCGGUUGGAUGGUACGUCGGGGCGCCGGCCCCGGAUGUGGUGCGGCAUUCGUGGUCUGCGUGCGGUUGCCCUGAGCAGCGUGGGCUGCAGGCACCCGGGUCGUGCGGCGUUGCAGCUCGAGUGCGGGCGGUGGCAUGUCGGGGCGGUGGUCCCGGAAGGUGGUGCUGGUGGGCUGCGCAGGGCGCGGCGUGCUACUUGGUGGUUUGCGGCGGUUGUGGCGACCAGGCUUAUGUGGCAACGAUGAUGGUGGGAGCGAUGUCGGCGACGCGGCGGCAAUGGUUGCGAUAGUCGGCUCUUCUCCGGCGUGUCCGCGGUAUGCCUCGGUUUGUUUGUUGAUGUGGAGUCGAAGCUGCGGCGGCGGGGCCCUGUGGUAUACGAUGACUGGCUGCAAGUGGCCCGUUCGGUGAUCUUCCGUGGCGCCAGCUUUCGCCUAGUUUUGUUCUUCUGAGUUCUCCGUCAGAGUCGGAGCUGCGUUGUCUGGCUGCAGGUCGACAUGUUGUCGAUGAGGGUGGGCUUUGCCCUGUGUGUGUUAGUCUUUGGGAGUGGGCUUGGCCCUUGUUGUUCCGAUUUUUGCCCAGUUUUCCGUAAUUAACUGGGCAAUUCUCUUCUGCUUAAUUAAUAGAUGAGGCAAUCUUUGCCUCCGUUUCGAAAAAAAUGCAGUUACCACAAAUUGUCAACAAAAAACAGAAUAUAGUAAUUCUGCCAUCUUAACUGCUUCUUGCCGACUUGCUGGCCUGACUUCUACUUAGAUGGUCCUGUACUAAGCAAUGACGACAACAUGGCUGUACAUACAGAAGUCAUAGUAACGUCGGUUGGGCCUGCUACAUUUCCUUCUAACAGAAGACCACUUUUUAUAACGCAG